GAUGGGAAGCUGGAUAGAUCCCCCUAUGCAGGGAUGUUUUGACCUUUCGAAUUUGGCUUUGGGCCCGGGGGAGUUGUGAGUUGUGGGGGCCCUUAACUUUGGAGGGACUUUGAAACAUGCCUCUAAAUAUCAUAUGGAUUUCAGUGUCGACUAUGGAGAAUGGGCUGACUUGUCGAGUAGGGACAAGGAUAUUGUCAAGUUGGAGUCUCCCCGAGAGAAAGGAAGGAAAUUAAGAAUAAGAUCAGCAGAAGACAAAGUAAAGUACAGGUACAAACAUGAAGAAGACCUGCGGAAGGGACAUGGAAAAGACUUAAGAGCCUCGGAUAGAAGGUCACCAGGUUGAUGGACUAGAUGGAUGGGAUAGAAAGGACUGACAAAACCCAAGACCAGGAAGAAGAGACGAUGGAUGAAGAUUGGAAGAAAGUUUUAAAAAUUUAUUUAGGAAAUUAUCGUAAAAUUAAUGAGUACUAGAAAAAUGUUGGAAUGAAAUUAUUUGGCUUUAGUAGAAAUGUUAAAAAGAAUUAUGUAAGAAUAUUUUAUGUUUAAAAGAAUUAGGUAUAAAUAAGAUUUAAGUUUUAAGUUUUAGGUUUUUUUAUGGUAAGAUAAGGUUAAAAUAGAUUAAGGUAAUUUAAUGACAGAAUAUUGUGAAAGAUGGAAAAGAUUUGCUGAGAUAAUUAAUAACUAGAAUACAAAAAAGGGAGGUGUGAGGAGGUCGAUGAAAUAAGUUAAUGGAAAAUAAGGAUUUGGGAAUAUUGGAUUUGUUUUUAAAUUUUUUGUUUAUUUUUGUUUUUUGAUUUUGAUGUAUUGUGUGUUUUGUUUUGGUUUUUUUUUCUUUGACUUUGGUUUUUUAUUGACUUGUAUUGUUCAAUUGUUAUUUUUGUCUACCGUCUUCUUUCUUUUUCUUUUUCUCUUGUUUUCUUUCUUUCUUUGUAAUUUUAAAUUCUCAAUAAAUAUCAUUUUUUU